GGACUCUCUGCCAUUGUCCAUGCCCUCAAUGAUGGACGUAUGACUGUUUAUGAAGAACUAUAGUAUAGUAAGGAUAUAGGGGAACUUAAUGAGGAAGGCAAAGGGA